rnacentral:lncRNA from 12 species
AUUUGGAGGUGACACACUCUGGUAUACUUCAUUGUAAUACUAAAGCAAAGACUCCUAUUCAAGAUUUGUUCAUAUUUUGGGUAAUACAUGCUACCAGUAAAAUUCAGUAAUAUAGCUGCUAUUCAAUAUGCAAAUAGAUCAAAUGUUAUUAUUUUCAGGUAAGAUUUCUCCAAAAUAAUGAGCCAAUCUUAUAAAUUGAAUUUACUAAUUUUUAUUUAAUAUAAAAUGAACCAAAAUAAGAAAACAAAAACCUAAAAUAAUUGAUGGAAUAACAGAAAUCUUCAGAAUGAUGGUGAGAAAAAAUGGAUUAGUCAGUAAAGAGCAAAAAUGUCUUGCUACGAGAUAAUAUGAAAUAUUUUAGGAUAAAGCAGCUGACCAUUUUUCUUACUUCUCACUUUAUCUCUCCAAUCAUCUAGUACUCAAAUGUCCUGAAUAUGUGAAAGCAUCAAUUCCUCCCAGAUGUCUUUCCAUUGUGCAGCUCAGCAGGUAUCUUUUUAAAGGUUCCUCAAUGUGGCCACUGAAAUCAGGGGAAUUGAAUGGAAGGUGAUAUUGAAAAACAGGAAGUCUAACUGUAGA